rnacentral:rRNA from 1 species
AGCAGCCGCGGUAAUUCCAGCUCCAAUAGCGUAUAUUAAAGUUGUUGCCGUUAAAAAGCUCGUAGUUGAACCUUGGGCCGGGCUGAUCUGUCCUCCUAAUCGAGCGCACGGAUUCGGUCGGGCCUUUCCUUCUGGGGAGCCCGAUGCCCUUCACUGGGCGUCGUGGGGAACCAGGACUUUUACCUUGAAAAAAUUAGAGUGCUCCAGGCAGGCCUAUGCUCGAAUACAUUAGCAUGGAAUAAUAGAAUAGGACGUGUGGUUCUAUUUUGUUGGUUUCUAGGACCGCCGUAAUGAUUAAUAGGGACAGUCGGGGGCAUCAGUAUUCAAUUGUCAGAGGUGAAAUUCUUGGAUUUAUUGAAGACUAACUACUGCGAAAGCAUUUGCCAAGGAUGUUUUCAUUAAUCAAGAACGAAAGUUAGGGGAUCGAAGACGAUCAGAUACCGUCGUAGUCUUAACCAUAAACUAUGCCGACUAGGGAUCGGACGAUGUUAACUUUUCUUGACUCG